CCCUUAGAUGUUCUGGGCUGCACGCGUGCUACACUGAUAUUGCCAAUAUGUCAUUCUUAUCCGAAAUGGAUUGGGUAAUCAAGUAAUGAAAUUUCAUGCUUGGAAUUGGUAAUUGCAAUUUUAUCGUGAACGAGGAAUUCCUAGUAAGCACUAGUCAUCAGCUAAUGUUGAUUAUGUCCCUGCCCUUUGUACACACCGCCCGUCGCUACUACUGAUUGGGUGUUCAAGUGAGAUGCUUAGACCCUUGUUGCAUGGUUCAUUAUUGUGCUCCGAAAGGAAAAAGUUUCAAGCUUGAGUGUCUAGAGGAAGUAAAAGUCGUAACA
rnacentral:rRNA from 1 species